rnacentral:snoRNA from 1 species
GGGCCAUAUGAUGAGACUUUGUGCAACUCACGACGGUCGUCUGAGACACUUUGUGUGUAAUGUUGCAGUCCUAUUUUCUCUGAUGCUC